AUUGAGUUGCUUGGUCAGAUAGAAUUGUAUUUUGACCGAGGCAACUUUUAUGAUUUUACAUCUCUUGUUCGUGAACUUGAUAUUCCUGGUGAAUUAUAUGAAAGAAAAACAUAUCCCUUCGAAUUUUCUACAGUUGAAAUGCCAUAUGAGUCUUACAAUGGUGUCAACGUGAGGCUUAGGUAUAUAUUGAAAGUGACAAUCAGUCGUAACUACGUCAGCAACAUUGUGGAGUACCAGGAUUUUGUGGUGCGCAACUAUUCCCCGCUUCCGUCAAUAAAUAACAGCAUUAAGAUGGAAGUUGGAAUUGAGGACUGCCUUCAUAUUGAGUUUGAAUACAGUAAAAGCAAGUAUCAUUUGAAGGAUGUCAUCAUUGGAAAAAUAUAUUUUCUUCUGGUGAGAAUUAAGAUUAAAAAUAUGGAGCUUGAGAUCAGGCGUCGUGAGUCAACAGGAUCAGGGCCUAAUACAUAUGUUGAGACAGAGACCCUUGCAAAAUUUGAGUUGAUGGAUGGUGCUCCUGUUAGAGGAGAAUCAAUUCCAAUCAGACUGUUUCUAAGUCCGUAUGAGUUGACACCCACAUAUCGCAACAUCAACAACAAGUUCAGUGUCAAGUAUUUCUUGAAUCUUGUUCUAGUUGAUGAAGAGGAUAGACGGUAUUUUAAGCAGCAAGAAAUCACAGUUUAUCGCCUUCUUGAAAAUUCUUGAUCAUUUGUGAUGGGGAGUUCAGAGUGUUCGACGUGAGAAAAUGGGGCAGCAUGUUUGCUAUGCCAUUUGAAGCAUUUGCUUGCUUUCUUGACGGACUACAACUUGGCGUUUAUGGAGAACCAUUUGUGAUAUUUGCAUGGAGUUUGCCAAAUGACAUACUAGUUUUUGUGGUUUAGUGAAAAAACU
rnacentral:misc_RNA from 1 species